UACGAAGGGGGCUAGCGUUGCUCGGAAUCACUGGGCGUAAAGCGCACGUAGGCGGAUUGUUAAGUCAGGGGUGAAACCCUGGAGCUCAACUCCAGAACUGCCUUUGAUACUGGCGAUCUCGAGUCCGGGAGAGGUGAGUGGAACUGGCGAGUGUAGAGGUGAAAUUCGUAGAUAUUCGCAAGAACACCAGUGGCGAAGGCGGCUCACUGGCCCGGUACUGACGCUGAGGUGCGAAAGCGUGGGGAGCAAACAGG
rnacentral:rRNA from 1 species